rnacentral:rRNA from 1 species
AAUCAACGCUGGCGGCGUGCCUAACACAUGCAAGUCGAACGCGAAAGUCCCUUCGGGGAUGAGUAGAGUGGCGUACGGGUGAGUAACGCGUGGGUAAUCUACCUUUGGGUGGGGAAUAACCCAGGGAAACUUGGGAUAAUACCGCAUAAUGCAGCGGCUCGGCAUCGAGACAGUUGUUAAAGCAGGGAUGCGCCUGAAGAGGAGCCGGGGUCUGAUUAGCUUGUUGGGGAGGUAAAGGCUCACCAAGGAUACGAUCAGUAGCUGGUCUGAGAGGACGGCAAGCCACAAUGGCACUGAAACACGGGCCAUACUCCUACGGGAGGCAGCAGUGGGGAAUUUUGCGAAAUGGGCGAAAGCCUGACGCAGCAACGCCGCGUGAAGGAUGAAAUCCCUCGGGAUGUAAACUUCGCAAGUAUGGGAAGAAAAAAAUGACGGUACCAUAUGUAAGCCCCGGCUAACUCCGUGCCAGCAGCCGCCGUAAAAC